CCUUGCACAUUAUACCUGUGAUUUGUGUUAGAACUAAGGUUAGAUUUUAUCUUACACAUUUUACCUGUACUUAAGUGUUAGGAUUAAGGUUAUAUGCUACCUUACACAUUAUACCUAUUUUUGUAAGAGUCAAUGUUAUAUGUUUACCUAACUAUUGUUAAGAGAUAGAAUUGUGUCUUGAGAUAAGGUUGCAUGCUACCUUUCACAUAUUUAUAUUGUUAUAUUUAAGGGUGUAUGCUAUGUUAGACAUAUCCCACCUUUAAUAUAUAAGAUCCAGUACAUUUGUUAUAACUUAUUUAUUACCCUUCUGUUUGUCAUAAUUUAAUUCCGUCCUUUUACAAUUAAAAUCCAAGUCAUCUUUUGUAUAUUCCACAAUUUUAUCUUAGUGUGAAACUCUUUUUAAAGGAGACAGAUGGUAGAAUUUCACUAUAAUAUAUUUUCAAAGUGUCAUCUUGUUAAGAUGUCACAACACACAAUGUCUCACAAAUAGAACAAUGUCAUCCAUUCAACUUUCACACACUACUCUAAACAAAACUAAUUUAAAAGGUAUUAUAAAAACGAUAGUUUUAUUGGGUAUAUGCAAAGUAAUUGAUUGUUAGAAAAGCUAGAUAUUUCAAACAUUUUAUGCAUGAUCGAAAUGACUUAUAUUUCAUGUCAAUAAAAUUUGUAUUUAUAAACCCUAUUUAAAAAAAAAUAACUGCUUUAUUUUGUGCAUUUGUGCAAUAUUCAUAGAAAUACCAGUUAUACCAUUAUAUUUCUUAACAUUUCCUCCCUCCGAGAUCUUUGACUUUAUAAACAUAUUCAAAUGAAGAUAUAGAUACAAGAUUUUAAUCCAAAUAGAUUUGGACUUGUUUCUUUUUCUUCAAACAGACGAUAUCAAACUAUAGUUGCUGCACACAGAACUGUUCUCUCAGGGAAACUUACAAGUAUAUGUAAGGUGCAUCAGUCAUGAUGUCACGUGAUGAAACAAUUUUUUUUUUAAUAUU